rnacentral:lncRNA from 1 species
GUCGGCUACGCCCGGAUUAUCACCACAACUCGCUCUUUUUACUCCCCCGAGGCGAGAAGAAAGAAGAGGAGGCCCGCUCGCCAACUCCAACCCCUCAGCCUCCUCUCUCUCUCUCUCCCCCUCCCUUUCUGUCUCUUCCCUUUUCGUUCCCAAUCUUGCUCCCAAAAUCGAUGGGAAUGAUCUCCAAUUCCUUGACCUAGAAGUUGUUAUUUGUUUCCUUUUCUGCUUCCCUGGUUCCCAUCUCGGGAUCCAUUUAUUAUCUUCUUCGAAUCGGAGAUCCAGAUCCCGCUGUUCGGGAUGGCGGCGAUGGCCUCGCGGCGGCUCCGGGAGCUCCAGGCUCAGCCGGGGAACAAGACGUGCGUGGACUGUGCCCAGAAGAACCCGCAGUGGGCUUCCGUCUCCUAUGGCGUAUUCAUGUGCCUCGAGUGCUCCGGCAAGCACCGCGGCCUGGGCGUCCACAUCAGCUUCGUGCGCUCUGUCACCAUGGACUCCUGGUCCGAGAUCCAGCUCAAGAAGAUGGAGGCCGGCGGUAACGAUCGCCUCAACGGCUUCCUCGCCCAGUACGGCGUCCCCAAGGAGACCGACAUCCCCGCCAAGUACAAUACCAACGCCGCCGCGGUCUACCGCGAUCGCAUCCAGGCCCUUGCCGAGGGCCGUGCCUGGCGGGACCCGCCCGUUGUCAAAGAAAGCCUCACGACCGCCGGCGGCUACGGGGCCACCGGGACGAAGAAGCCGCCGAUCGGUGGCGGCUCCGGUUUCUCGGCGGCGAGUAAUGGAGGGUGGGAUAGCUGGGACGGCGACGACUUCCGAUCGUCGUCAGACAUCAGGCGGAACCAGUCGGCGGGCGAUUUUAGGGCUGGCGGGAGCAGCGGCGGAGGCGGGCGAGGAGCGCAGCCGUCGAGAUCUAGAUCGACGGAGGAUAUCCACACGAGGGCGCAGCUGGAGGCGUCGGCAGCGAACAAGGAGAGCUUCUUUGAGAGGAAGAUAGCCGAGAACGAGUCGAGGCCGGAGGGGAUCCCGCCAUCUCAGGGUGGAAAGUAUGUGGGUUUUGGAUCGACGCCGCCACCGUCUGCUCGACGGAACGAUCCGCAGGGAGAUGUGCUUCGAGAUACGGUUUCCGUGGUUUCACAGGUGAAGUUACGCGCACUUUUGUCUUUUGCUUGAUUAGAUAGUGAAGCGAUGAUCAAGCUUACAUACAACUUGGCAUUUUGACACUUUUUUAUGACUAUUACAUUUUUUUUUUCAAAUUUUAUGAUAUGUAUUUAUUUAAUCUGCAUGUUCCUUGAGAACCAACUUGACAUGAUUGGAAUAACUACAUUUGGUUAGAAAAAUGUUAUGCUUAUUCACCUGUAAAACUUAAAUAAUUUAUAUAUAAAUUGUUAAGCAUGUCCGGUAAGUCGCUGCUCAUGUUCCUUGCUUUGGGGUAAAUGUCUGCUACCUGUUUUUAUAUUUUCAAUAAUUGGAGCAGAUUUCUAGAAAAUAUUGUAGGAAGGCAGUCAGAACUGAAAGGUUUGAAAAAGUACAAGCAUUGAUCGCAAAGGGAAAUCGGGAUUGCCUAUAUGGAGGAAAACUUUUUCACCUCCCAUUGCAAGGCAUAUUGUGAUUUUGUGGUUAGCCUUGACGAUAUGGAUGAAAGAUGUGCCACCCUCUCCAGCAAUAUUGGUAGCUAGAAGGCCUUCCACCAGAGGCAUAUUUUUUGGGACAUUAAUGACAACUCAUGCUUCUGCAUUAUUACACAUAGCCAACCCAACCAACCCACAAGCCUCACAAAGGAUGAGGCCGUUGUGAUGAUCUAUCAAUCUGCCAAACCCGAUAAUGUCCUAGUACUAGAUGUAGAGAACAUAAUUGAAACAAAAACUAAUCUUUUCAGCAUGUCAACGAGAACUCGUGCUUCUGCAAUGUUAUAUGUAGCUGUCCCAACUAAUCUACAAGCCUCUCAUAGGAUCUGUCCAUUGUGAUUAUCUAUCACUUUGCCAAACCAAAACAUAUCCCAGUACCAGAUGUAGAGGACAUUUAGCUAGGGGGCCAGUUGUCGGGUGGGGAGCUUCUGACCAAUUUGAAAGUAGUGCAUGCUUCUUAAGCUUUUUGGAUGUUGGCUCUUUUUUCUUAUUAGACACUAGGAAUAACAGAUCUAUGUUUAUCCAUGUACCUUCUGUAAUGGGAUUAAGAGAUGUCGAUUUUUCUUUCAUCAUCUUUUUAAAAUGUCCAAAUUUUCUUAGAUUUCUUCUUUUUUAAAAUGUUCAAAAUUUCUCUAUUUUUUUAUAGUUGUCUAACGAAUCAAGUUCCAGAGCUCCUUUCAGAUAUUGCUAAGCUGAACUUAUCAUCAGUCAGCGAGAUCCAACUUUUCUUAAGAAAAAGAACAGGUUGUAACUGCUGCUUUUUUUAAAGGAAUGUGCUCGAUCACCUAACAACGAGAGGGAGCAUAACAUUUUGGAAAGUUUUCAUCAAGUUUCAAUUGAAAAAUACCAUGAAUAUAUGCUAUUAUAGCUUGUAUAUUGGAGAAAAGGUUUCUUUCAGUUGCUUGCGGCCACCAAAAAAACUAUUGCUAUUUUCAGAUGACUUCCUCUUAUCAUCUUUUAGAAAACUACUUGAUAUUGCUGGUCUAUUGAUGCAUGAUGAGUUCAUAGGCUUUUUAAUUUUACUUUCUGUUGGGAUAGAAAGAAGUUAUUAAGAAGGAAGGAAACGAGCAAUGAAAGAAGGGGAAAGAGAAAGGGAAGUGAAGGGGAGAAUGAAGAACAAAGAUGGGAAAGAAAAGAAGAAGAAAGUAAUACCCAUAAAGGGAGAAAUGAAAGAGGGCUAAUAAGAGGCAAAAGAAAAAUAAAGGCAGGUGUGCAGUGGCCGUGUUCCAAACUUCUGAUGAGAAUUCUGAGGUCAAAUUCUACUAGUAGGAAUCGAGGAUUAACUAGUAGGCAUUUAAAAUAUUCUAAAAAGUAUCAUAUUCUGUAAUCAUAGUUUAGAUGAUCUGUCCUGUGUUGUGGACUUCUAAUAUUUGGUUUAUAUUAUGUCAAUAGGAGUUCAAUUCAACUCUCACCUCUCUCUCUCCCUCCCUCGCUUCCCCCUCUUUCCCCUCUCCGCAUGCAUGUGUGGACAUGCAAAUAGUUACACACACACAUACACACAUAUAUACAUAUACAUGUACAUAUGCACAUGCAGACACGUUUGUUUGUAGAUAUUUAUGCACAUUGCAUGUUAUAUGUUCUAAUAUCGGCAGUCUUAAUUAGGCAUUCAUGUAUUUAUGUAUGUACAUAUGUAGCUAUAGUGUCUGCUGUUUACUAAACAAGAGCUAUUAUUUUUGCUAUCAUUUUAGCUUAACACUGUACUUGGGUCUUUUGAUUGAUAUGCUUGUUAAUUGAUUCACUACUUUUAGAAACUUCAUGGCUCAAUGCAGGUGUUUCAAAUUUAGAUUGCAGAUCUGAACAGUUCUAUUUUGUACUUACGUGUUGCAUGUCAUUCUAAAUUAUUUUGUGCUAUAAGUUUGAUCCUAUUGCUGUAGAGGACAGGCCUUGGUUCAGUUGUAAGGUUGCUUUCUUUGACCUAGGUGACAUGGAGUUGAAAUACCUCUCCAUAGCCGGCGAUAAGGCUGUGUAUAUCCAACUCUCUCUAAACCUUGCAGUAGCGAGAGUCUCAUGCACCAAGACACCUUUUUAAAGUUUGAUUAUAUUACUGUAUCCCUUUUUUUGCUCAAUUGUUUGGUUUUCAAUUGCUAGUAAAUUAUAUUUACUCAAAAAGGUGAUGGGGUGCUUUUACUUUCUAGGAAAUUUCCAUUUUUUGAUCACGAUGAAGCUUUUUCUCUUCUUCUGUACGUAGUGAGACAUAUACUGGUUGUUGCUGCAUAUCUUAUGCACUAUUUAAAUUACCUUGUUCUCAUUUUUUUUUUU